CAGCAGUCGCCGCGGUAAUACGUAGGGUGCGAGCGUUAAUCGGAAUUACUGGGCGUAAAGCGUGCGCAGGCGGUUUUGUAAGACAGGCGUGAAAUCCCCUGGCUCAACCUGGGAACGGCGCUUGUGACUGCAAAGCUAGAGUGCGGCAGAGGGGGAUGGAAUUCCGCGUGUAGCAGUGAAAUGCGUAGAUAUGCGGAGGGACACCGAUGGCGAAGGCAAUCCCCUGGGCCUGCACUGACGCUCAUGCACGAAAGCGUGGGGAGCGAACAGGAUUAGAUACCCCUGUAGUCCCUGUCUCUUAUAC
rnacentral:rRNA from 1 species